rnacentral:piRNA from 1 species
UGGAGAGAGGUCUUUACAGCCACCUGAUCCU